rnacentral:rRNA from 7 species
UAAAUUUAGAGUUUGAUCCUGGCUCAGGACGAACGCUGGCGGCGUGCUUAACACAUGCAAGUCGAGCGAUGAAGCUUCCUUCGGGAAGUGGAUUAGCGGCGGACGGGUGAGUAACACGUGGGUAACCUGCCUCAAAGUGGGGGAUAGCCUUCCGAAAGGAAGAUUAAUACCGCAUAAUAUAAGAGAAUCGCAUGAUUUUCUUAUCAAAGAUUUAUUGCUUUGAGAUGGACCCGCGGCGCAUUAGCUAGUUGGUAAGGUAACGGCUUACCAAGGCAACGAUGCGUAGCCGACCUGAGAGGGUGAUCGGCCACAUUGGAACUGAGACACGGUCCAGACUCCUACGGGAGGCAGCAGUGGGGAAUAUUGCGCAAUGGGGGAAACCCUGACGCAGCAACGCCGCGUGGGUGAUGAAGGUCUUCGGAUUGUAAAGCCCUGUUUUCUAGGACGAUAAUGACGGUACUAGAGGAGGAAGCCACGGCUAACUACGUGCCAGCAGCCGCGGUAAUACGUAGGUGGCGAGCGUUGUCCGGAUUUACUGGGCGUAAAGGGUGCGUAGGCGGAUGUUUAAGUGGGAUGUGAAAUCCCCGGGCUUAACCUGGGGGCUGCAUUCCAAACUGGAUAUCUAGAGUGCAGGAGAGGAAAGCGGAAUUCCUAGUGUAGCGGUGAAAUGCGUAGAGAUUAGGAAGAACACCAGUGGCGAAGGCGGCUUUCUGGACUGUAACUGACGCUGAGGCACGAAAGCGUGGGUAGCAAACAGGAUUAGAUACCCUGGUAGUCCACGCCGUAAACGAUGGAUACUAGGUGUAGGGGGUAUCAACUCCCCCUGUGCCGCAGUUAACACAAUAAGUAUCCCGCCUGGGGAGUACGGUCGCAAGAUUAAAACUCAAAGGAAUUGACGGGGGCCCGCACAAGCAGCGGAGCAUGUGGUUUAAUUCGAAGCAACGCGAAGAACCUUACCUGGACUUGACAUCCCUUGCAUAGCCUAGAGAUAGGUGAAGCCCUUCGGGGCAAGGAGACAGGUGGUGCAUGGUUGUCGUCAGCUCGUGUCGUGAGAUGUUAGGUUAAGUCCUGCAACGAGCGCAACCCUUGUUAUUAGUUGCUACCAUUAAGUUGAGCACUCUAAUGAGACUGCCUGGGUAACCAGGAGGAAGGUGGGGAUGACGUCAAAUCAUCAUGCCCCUUAUGUCCAGGGCUACACACGUGCUACAAUGGUAGGUACAAUAAGACGCAAGACCGUGAGGUGGAGCAAAACUUAUAAAACCUAUCUCAGUUCGGAUUGUAGGCUGCAACUCGCCUACAUGAAGCUGGAGUUGCUAGUAAUCGCGAAUCAGAAUGUCGCGGUGAAUACGUUCCCGGGCCUUGUACACACCGCCCGUCACACCAUGAGAGCUGGUAACACCCGAAGUCCGUGAGGUAACCGUAAGGAGCCAGCGGCCGAAGGUGGGAUUAGUGAUUGGGGUGAAGUCGUAACAAGGUAGCCGUAGGAGAACCUGCGGCUGGAUCACCUCCUUU